UAGCUUCUCUUCCCACCUGUCUAAAAAGCAAGCAAACAAGCAAAAUAACCACCUUGCAAAGUUCUUCUAGGUUUACCUCUCUGGCACUCUUACAUAUAUUUUCAAAAUUACAACAGAUAAUUUCAAAAAUAUAUGGAAGAGUGCCAGAGAGGUAAACCUAGAAGAACUUUGCAAGGUGGUUAUUUUGCUUGUUUGCUUGCUUUUUAGACAGGUGGGAAGAGAAGCUA